CCCUCACCUAGCCGGAAAGGUGGGGCGGGUGAGGGGGGGCCCACAUGGGGCCGGGGCCGGGCGAGCGGCGUGGGGGCCUCCUGGCCGGGGGCAGAGGGCCUCCGCCGGGCGAAAAGCGGCGGAGCUGGGCGGCCACAGGUGCCCGCGGCCGGGAGCACGGAGCAGGCUGCCCGCGAAGGCCCGACAGAGCAGAGGGGCCUGAAGCUGCACCUGCGCCUCCAGGGACAGUGAGUGCACAGAGCUGAGCCUACAGGAAUCUCCUGGAGAUUAUUAUCGGACAGAGACUAAGAAAUUGAGAAAGAAAGAGGGAGAGAGGAAGAGAGACACCUGAAGACCUGCUUCACCACUUGCAAAGCUUUCCCCCUACAGCGAACUCUGUUCGUGUCCCAGUGAGUAAAAGAUAGAUACAAGGUCGGUUCCAAGUGUUCCAACAGGUGAGCAUCCUGGCGUGAACCGGGCAGAUGGAGAAUGCAGCGAUUUCUGAGGGUGAGAAAGUGUGGCUGAGUGGACACUGACCUGACUCCUAGAGCAGCUCUUCUGUCUGGACUCUACAGCCUGCAGAUUCCGGAGCUGCCACCACUGAGUCUGUCUUACAGACCUGUUGUCCUAGGGACGUCUCCAAGUUCCCAAGCAGGCGUCAACAUUUACCUUGCAAUUCAAUCGAAACAGCAAGGACAAAGGUGCUUUAUCCUGCCGGCUUAGUAAUGGUCACUACGGAAACAAUUCAGGAUGAAACUGACUUCCGUGUGCGUCUCAUUCUCUUUGUUGGAAACACCAGGAAUGGGCAAAGGUGUGAUUUAUAAUCACUGCUUGUGAAAAUUCUGACAGCUCUCUAGCCCGUGGUAUGAAUUACAGUGUAAAGAAGGAGACCACGGAAUAA